CAUUCUCAUCCAGUCCAUUAAAGUGAUCUUUACCUUCAAAAUAUAAAAAAACUUGCUAAAAACCCACUCCAACCUAUCCACUAUAUCUAGACCUUAACCUUAAAUAUUAAAAAAAAAGCCACAGUAACUUUUUAUACAUAAAAAGCUACUGUAGCUCUCUAUUUCCAACAACCACAUCUCAUUUCAUCUUCUCCCGCCCCUCUCCUCUACACAUCGAUUACCAGCAACAAAUUCAACCAAACUACUGCACUUGCUAGGUUCGGAUUUGAGGGUUUCUAUUUGAAAACACUUCCGAUUUGUAAACAUUGGCGAUGAUACGGCUUCGGUCACACACAAAAACACACACUUGCUCGGUCCAGUCUACUCAUCAUCAGUCAUCGCAAGUAAUCGAGAGAUCCAAACACUUCGAAUAAGAUCCACACUUGUCGCAUUUCUAUUUCACCUGUCGCGGACCUUGAAUAUGUUCUGAAUUCCGUGAAGAAAGGUGCUGAAGUUGAAUUGUAAUGCAGGUGACGAGCUUGAACUUUCGGAAGCUAUUAGAGAUUAUCAUGAUAGUACUGGAUUGCCUCAUAUAGUAAGUUGAACUGUUGAAGGUUGAACUAGCUAGUAUUGAAUGUCGAAACUGAUAUCAGAUAUUUUGUGUUACUUAUAUGUGAUGGUGAAAGUAGUGUUGUCAAGAGUGGCUAUGGAAAUGUGGUAAUUGAGUAUUUCAUGUCACUAUAUAAUAUAUGAUUUAGAUUUUCAUCUCUUUUUGCUGAA